rnacentral:lncRNA from 1 species
CAUAAAGCCACAUUCACUCUCUUGCUUUCUCUGUCGCAUGCACUCUCUUGCCCUUCCACCUAGUUUCCAUGUUAUGAUGCAGCAAGAAGGCCCUUGCCAGAUGUGGCUCCUGGAUUGUGGACUUUUCAGCCCCCAGAACUGUGAGCCAAACAAACUUCUUUUGUUCAUAACUUCCCCAGUCUGUGAUAUCCUGUUACAGCAGCAGAAAAUGGACUAAGACACCCAGGGAUGUACCUGGAACCUGGAAAAAGGGGCAGAUCUGCAUCACGGGCUUGCAUGUCCAAUUUCACCUUGGCACUUGCUUCUCCGAGGGUCUGGACAUGGGGCUUCGUUUGAGUCUGGAAGCAGUGGAGAGGGGCCAGAAGCUCCAGGCCUUGGCUUGGAGAUCUCUACAGGUGUGCAUGGAGAUGUUUGAAGUGCUAAUGGCUGAGACAGAGCAAGUGGCAGAGGCCUAGGAGACGGAGGCUGAAAGAGUCUGAGGAGGAAAGGAGGCACUGAGGGACUCACAUGAAGCUACUCUGUCAGCAUUCUAAAACUUCUGACAUUCUUUUCUAUGAAGAUAAUUGAAUCACCAAAUUUGAUGAAAUGUUCCCCAAAUAUCAGGUGAAAAAAACUCAUCUAAACCUUUGGACUUGGAAUUGCCCACAUAGACCACAUCAGCAAUGGAAGACAGAGCAAAUAACAUGUCGGUUCAAUGUAUGAAGGAGCUUUUCUUUCCCCUGCCCCAACCCUCAGACAGGUAAAUCUGUGAAAGCUCUAUUUUGAUUCUUUUUAAAUUAUUUGUUUUACAUGUUUUGUGUUUUAUGUUGGCUGAUUCCAAAUGGUUGAAAUAGUGGAGGUCCAACAACCAUUUUCACAGUGUAAUCUUCAGAAGUUCAUCCUUUGGGUUGUAAUUUCAUGAUAAGGAGGAGCAAGAAGAUGCUUUUUGUAACUCAAAUAGCAUCUUCUGAGAAAGGUCUCUAUUUUCACUUGUGUCUUAACUUACAACUGUGUUCAACUCUAUUUCCUUUCCUUGCUUUACAUUUUUUCUUAUGCACCUAUAAUUAUCCAAUUUACUAUAUAUUUUAUAUUUGUCUGUUAUUGUCUGUUUUCUCCACUAAAACAUAAACUUCUUGCAGGAUUUUUGUCUGUUUUUCUCACUGUUGAAUCCCAAAAGCAAAGAAGAAUACCUAGCAUAGAGUUAGUGUUCAAGAAACAUUUGCUAAAUGGAUGAACACCUCUUCAUUUUAUGAGAAAUGAAUCUUCCCCAAGAAGGGGCUCCCGGGUGCAUCUUGUGUGUAGACAUCUCUAUGUCCCCAGGCUGCUGUAGAGCUGAGUCAUCUUUGUGCCCACACCUGGGAAGCAGGACCCUUGUUCGUGUUUCUUUGGCCUUGGGCAUGUCAGUGAGUAAGGAGGAUGUGUGGGAUCUGUGUCCAUAUUUACGUAAGAAAGCAAUAUAGCCUACUGCCCCUUUCAUUUUCAGCAAGUGUGUGUUUACACUGGCCUGGGAUCUACUAUAAAGUUUAAUGUUUGGUUAUACAUUUAUUUCUCAGCUACUUUUGUGAAUAAACAUUUUCUAAAACAUAUCUAUUUUAAAAGUGACAAUGUUUGAAUGAAAGAAAGAGGAGGAGUGAAGCCUGGUAGUUAAUUUGCAGAACUUAGAGCCUGAAUUUUUUGGGUUGGAUCUUUGAUUUUACCAUUCAUUAGUUUUGUGAUCUUCCUCAAUUUCCCAAUCUGUAAAAUGGAAAUAAUAAUAGUACCUACCUCAUGGGAUGUCAAGAGUAAAUAUAAAAAAUGUGUGACACCCAGGAAUGACUAUAUAAGUACUAGCAGUUAAUAUUAUUUAUUAUUAUUAUUCCUGCUUGAAUAAUCACUUUGAGCUAAAUCACUUUGUUUUUACUACUAGCAAUAAGCAUGCUUAAAUACUUUUAAUGUUAUUAUAAUUUGUAUUAUAGUAGACUAAUCUGGAAUUUUAUUAAGCAGAAUUCCCUCUAGACAGGCAUCUAUGCAUACGGAGCAAAAAAUGAUGUAUAUAAUAAUAAGUUUGAGGCACUGAAAGAUCUUGAAUGAGCUUCUGAAUCAUCAGUUACUGUAUCUUUGGGGGUGAGUGAAUUUUAUUACAAAGAAACUUUUUUUUUUUUUUAAAUUUGGUAAUCCUUAAGUAACAAUGUGCAAAUUUCUUUCAAGAAGUGCUGUUGAAUGCUAGGGAUGAGUAGUGUGAUGACUACUCCAAAUUAAGACAAUAAGGCCAGUUUGACAAUCAGCAAUGUGCUAUGCAGCUGAACUGGAGGCACAGUGGUGCUGGUGAAUUGGGCCAGCUCUGGAGAAUUUGAACAUAUAGACAGAGGGCAUGAUGUCUGACUUCUCCAGGCACUAUUGCAUCCCAGUCCGACUUUCCUAGGAUCACUUCAAGUUUGAUCAUAACCCCAAAUCCCUCAGCACCUUCAUUAUCACUCAUAAGCCACAGGGCGCUUGCUGGCAGCCCUUGUUUCUGAUCUGUUUCUCCACCACUGUUACUUGUAUUAUGGCACAUGACUCUGUUCCCAACACCCUCAGGCCUUGGGAAGGGGAUAGGCUGAAAUAAGUAGAUAUUGCUGUUGAAAGAAACAAUUUCAAUGAGGUCUCCCCCCACGCAUCCUUGCUGAGGUCGUGGCGAGACAUAGAUGGAGGGUAGGCAAAAGCAGGAAGAUGACAGCAGAGCAGUAAGGGCUCAGCAAACGAGAGACUAGGGCAGGUGUGUGAAGAAGGGAGAAUGGAAGAGGAAUUGGAUGCAUGAAGGCAGAGAAAGUAGGUGGUGGGCAGAAAUAAUGGGAAAAUGUGAAUCUUCAGAAGUCAAAAUUUAAUGAUGUUUGCUUAACAUUUGCAUAUAUGAUACUACUCCCCAAGUAUGUGAACUAGACAGUUUACAUAUAAGGCAGGAAAAUAGGGUCUGGAGGCAGGGAACAUAAGGCCAAUUCACACUUCAGCUAUGACAGAAAAUAUCUUCUCCAUAGGGCAUAGUUGCUAGGGCCACUCAGAGAGAGAGAAUCCUGAAACCUAGCAUACCAGCUAAAGGGUAAGAAUUUCUUACUAGCCAGUCUCUGGCCUCUUUCUCUCUGUGCAAACUGGCUAAUCUCCAUUGUAAAGUUUUAAAUUAAUUGGUUUAAUAAUAAUAAGAGCUUAAAUCAAAUAUUUCAUCAGGAAAGUAGAAAGCGUAAUGCCUUUUAGUUCACGUGACUUUAGCAAUUUUUGGGAAAUAAAGAGGGUUUUAAAGAUUAUUGGUAAAAUACAAUGUCUUUAAAAUGGAAACAUGUGGUCUAAAUUAUGUUCCAAUAUUAGGUUUGCUGAAUGCUUUAAGGUCAUAAACUGCUUAUUUGGCUUUUGAAAAUUGUUUAACUUGCCUGCUUUCCAGCUAGGUAAGGCCUGGGAACAUGUGGAGUUGGCCAUGCCCCUAGCUAUGCUGCAAACAGUCAAACCUUUUCAGAACAUAACUUACCAGGUUUUACAUUAAAGUUAAAAUUGCUAAGAGUCACCAUUGUAACAUGCAAUUAAGACUACUAGAAACGGUUUUACAUGCACGGUGUGUAAGAAUAGUAGAAUGUAUGUCUCUGUGUGUGUUUUGUAAAAGGUUUUUACUUCUUUAAAAUUUCUGAGUCAUUAUUUUGGCAAAAUAAAUAAUCUGGAAUUCCAAAAUCAAACUUCAGUUUCAAAAUUGUCUUUCCUAAUGCCUGGCUUUCUGGAUGGAUCAGAGGGCCCCUGAAAACAUCCAGAAAGGAGGUAAACAGGAUUAUUUGAUGUGUUUAGGUACAUGGGAUUGCCAAAAUGAUGUUCCGUGUUCUUUAAGUUUUUUUUGUGAAUAAUACUAAUAUAUGUUCCAAAAUUGUAUGGGAUUCCUAAAAUAGUACAUGCUAUCAAUUAUAAUUAUGGGUAUUAUGUUAAGUUAUUGUAAACCACACAAAUAACCAAAUUUCCUUGUAUAAAGCUACUAACCCAAGUAGAACAAAAAUUAAUUAAAUACCAAUAAAAUACUUUGUCAGACUUUCAUGUUAAACCAGCUGAUACUGAAAUUUUUAAGAUAGUUUAUAACCAAUGCUUGGUCCCAUAUUCCUGGGAAGACAAUUAAAGCUUCAUGUACAUUUGGUCACCUUGUGGGCCAUUUAAACAUUUUAUAAAGGGAUUUCAUUCAAUUGUUAUUUCCAAUGCAUGCUUUCUGGUUGUAUAAAAGCUUUCCCACGUGAGAGGGCUGAUGUUAUCACAGUAGAUUAUUAUGCUACAGUGUAUUUGCACCAGGUAAAAAAGCUUUUUAUGGUUUGAAUCUUCUGAGAACACCAGAGAAAGACUCUCCUUACCAUCCUCACUGCAACUAAACUUCGGGACCCUGGGCUUUGGGUUCAUGGUCUCGCCACUGAAAAGGUUCCCUCCACACUUUUGGAAUUGUGCACCCAUUGGAACCCUUGAGGUAAAGCUAACCAGAGAAAUUUCUCCCAAGAAGAAGAAGAUGGCAUCCUUGAAGUGAACAGCUUUUCCCAAGUUCACAGAGUAAGACUUCUACUAUCAUGAAACUCUUAUCUUUGAAUAUUUUUUCUUGCUUAUAUCUCUACUAACAAUAGAAGUGGAAAAAGGGUCUGUUAUGUGCACUUAUGGGGUAUACUUUUAUUUGUGAAGAAGUUUGCAGCCAGCCUUAUACAUGGAUAACCUUCUACUUUGAUAGAGAUGAAGGCCCAAUGCAGGUAAGAAACUUUAGUGGUACAUAUGUUGCCCCAUAAUCACUCAAAAACAAAAUAUUGGUUCAUCCCUCUUAACCCACAUCAUGGGUUAAAGAGAACAUUGCCAGGGGGUCUUCACUCUCCUAGAAGGGCAUCAUUUGUUAAGUCCUUUUUCCAUGGCUUAAAGUAAAGGAAGCAAUGAUUAGAAAUGUAUCCCUCAUGAUAGGCUCUAUAGCAAAUCUACUUUAAAGGCUAUCGUUACACAACAGAUUUUAAAUUCUCUUUGAAAGUUAUGCUAAAUAGAAUUGGCUAAACAAAGAAGUUCUUCUGCAGCUGCUGACACUUGCGGCCUAUGGAGAAACAGGUCAAAUGCAGAUUAUAAAAAUUCAGUGUAGGGGAUUAAUGAAAAGACCACUUAGUCAAGUGAGUAGACUCUUCAUCUAGCUCAUUCUUUAAACUAUUUAAGUGUAGGUGGUUUGGUUUCUAGGGACCCUGGUUAAGGAGCAUACUCUGAACUCUGGGUAUUUUCCUUCCAGUAGUGAUAAUAGUAGUCUCCUUGGUGCACUGUAUUCUCUCAAAGGUUUUAAAUGCUUGCAUGCAGCCAUCUCUAGAACAUCAAAUGGUCUCUCUUCGACUGGAAUGACAACAGCUGAAAGAAAUGUUCAACCAUGAGGACACCAUACCUAUAAAUGAUGUGCUGAGACUGGAAACCCAAAAUGUUGGUAACUGAGAAGUGGCACUAAGGCCCUAAGUUUUGGUUGCACACUCACCUAAGUGAGAACCUGACCAAAAAGGGGGGAUUUUUAAAACAAAACUCUGUGAGGCCAUUGUUUUGGACUAAGCUCAUGCACUCAUGCCCUGGGCCCCAACAGACUAAAGCAAACACAGAUGGAGUCAUUUGUGCUAAGACUUUAAGGAAACGCUUGGAUUCCACAACAGACUAGCUUUUGUUUUUUUCUUCUGCAAAUCUCUAUAACAAACAUUUCUGACAACAUAGGUAUCCACCCCCUGAAGUUCCCAUUAAAUCUUUUAACCAAAUUCAUUUCCUCUCACCUAGAGACCAUCAAGCUUCAGAUGAUGAUGCAACAAAGGUUUCAGCCAGUUCCAGGUGAAGACACCACCCUUGGACAUCAAGAAGCUACCCUGCCUCCACUAGAUAGAGCAGGGAGAGUUCUGUGAUCCCCAAUAGGUAAGGACUAUGCCCCAAGCCAGCAUGAAGCAGUUACCAAAAAAGAUCAUCGGUCCCUCUGCCUCCCAUAAAGAUUUAUGGGAUCACAUCUCUCAGGGAGGAGAUGAGGCAGGAAAAUACGGUCUGGAGGCAGGAAACAUAAGGACAAUUCACACUUCAGCUAUGACAGGAAAUAUCCUCUCCAUAGGGCAUAGGCCAAGUAAAUGACUUUGCAACUUUACUUCAUCCUCUUCAUUUAUGUAGUAUGUGUCCCAAUCCUCUAGAGGAUAUUGAAACUCCCAAAAUUCUAAAUAGUGUGGACUUGGAGCCCCUAUGCUCAGGCCCGCUCCCACACUAUGGAGUGUACUUUCCUUUACAAUAAAACCCUCCAUUUCUUCC